GCGGCCUAUCAGCUUGUUGGUGGGGUAAUGGCCCACCAAGGCGACGACGGGUAGCCGGCCUGAGAGGGCGACCGGCCACACUGGGACUGAGACACGGCCCAGACUCCUACGGGAGGCAGCAGUGGGGAAUAUUGGGCAAUGGAGGGAACUCUGACCCAGCGACGCCGCGUGCGGGAUGAAGGCCUUCGGGUUGUAAACCGCUUUCAGCAAGGAAGAAGCGAAAGUGACGGUACUUGCAGAAGAAGCACCGGCUAACUAUGUGCCAGCAGCCGCGGUAAUACAUAGGGUGCAAGCGUUGUCCGGAAUUAUUGGGCGUAAAGAGCUCGUAGGUGGUUCGUCACGUCGGAUGUGAAAAUCUGGGGCUUAACCCCAGACCUGCAUUCGAUACGGGCGAGCUAGAGUGUGGUAGGGGAGACUGGAAUUCCU
rnacentral:rRNA from 1 species